CUAUAAUGCUUUUGACAAAGCUCAAAAGAAACCCUGAUAUUGCUGCUGAAAAGAGUAAAGGCAGAUCAUAAUAAAACAGGUUUCAGUCACAGUGAAUUAGACAUUUUUAACUUGACAGCAGAAUAUAGUUUAGAAUUUUUUAAUUGUAUUAUGAUGGAGCUUUCUUUUGAGGUCUUUUCUAUUCCAUGGCCUGACUAAUGUAUUAGUACACAAAAUACCACACAUUUCAGCUGUUCACAUGGCUGUUUUUGUGACUGGUAAAGUUCAGGGUGGCUCAGACAGUUCUCUGAAAACUAGCCGCAAACAUACGUAGACAGAGCAGAGAACUCACAGGCUGCAUGAUCACCCGUUGGCUCUGUUUAUGAUAAUUACGUGGCCGUUUGGUCCUUCUAAUACACGUGAAUACAAGCUGCUCACAGUAAUCUGUUGGACAGAGUAGAAUCAUUUUUUUUGAUGGUUAUAAUGA